rnacentral:tRNA from 1 species
CGGGGCGUGGCGUAGUUGGUAGCGCGCCUGCUUUGGGAGCAGGAGAUCGGGAGUUCGAGUCUCCCCGCCCCGA